rnacentral:lncRNA from 1 species
AAAACAAAUGCAAAACCUGCAGCAUUUUUCGGGAAUUGAUUCUCUGUACAUAAAAAUGAGAUUAGUCAAUCCUUUUGGUGUCUGUUUAGCAUACAAUGAGUACAUCCAGAUAGUUAAGACCCUUGGAAUCAAGAUUAAGAGAACCAUCAAUUAAGGAGGCAGUGCCCACCUCUCCAGGGAAAUUUACUUCAGUGCUUUAUCCUACCUGAUUGGACACAGCCGACCGUGUUGGUCCUGGUUCCCUUGUCAAAUGCUGGCUCCUGGAAAUAGCAUCAAAGCAAGCAGCUGAUAAGACAAACUAGGUUGUUACUUAUGCUAAGGGGAAGCACCACCUUGAAAGAGUCAUUGUAGAGUGGAAGUGGGGAGGGCAAAGUUGAGAUACUGAGGUUUUGGGGUUUGGUUUAAGGCAGGUCCUUUGAUGUCGGACUUAAUCAGGGCUGGGUAAGGAUCAUGUUAUAAUAGUUUAGGAUUGUUGGUCACAGUUUUGUAUUGGUGGUCACGGUGAAGUGAGGGCUUCAAAGACUCUUUGAGCUUUCUUUGAUGCUCCCUGUUGAAGAGCUGUGUGGUUUUAUUAAUGGAUUUUCCUGAACUCAAGGAGUAAGGUUAUUUGCAACUUUUGUCUUUCUGGGCAAGCAUUUCCUGGAAUAAUAAAGUCACAAUAAUAGA